rnacentral:rRNA from 1 species
AUUGAACGCUGGCGGCAGGCCUAACACAUGCAAGUCGAACGAGUGGCGGACGGGUGAGUAAUGAUUGGGAAUCUGCCUUAUGGAGGGGGAUAACUACUGGAAACUGUAGCUAAUACCGCUUACCAUAGGAUGAGCCCAAAUGGGAUUAGGUAGUUGGUGGGGUAACGGCUCACCAAGCCGACGAUCCCUAGCUGGUCUGAGAGGAUGACCAGCCACACUGGAACUGAGACACGGUCCAGACUCCUGCGGGAGGCAGAAGUGGGGAAUAUUGCACCAUGGGGGCAAGCCUGAUGCAGCCAUGCCGCGUGUAUGAAGAAGGCCUUCGGGUUGUAAAGUACGUUCAGCGGGGAGGCGUUACCCGCAGAAGAAGCACCGGCUAACUCCGUGCCAGCAGCCGCGGUAAUAC